GACGAACGCUGGCGGCGUGCUUAACACAUGCAAGUCGUACGGUGAACGAGGGCGCUUUCUCCCUCCGGAUCAGUGGCGGACGGGUGAGUCACACGUAUGCACUCUGCCCCGGACUCUGGGAUACGCGUUGGAAACGACGUCUAAUACCGGAUACGACGCGGGAAGUCAUCCUCUCCGCGUGGACAGGACUUCGGUUUGGCCUGAGGGCGCGGCAUAGCAGCUUGUUGGUGAGGUAACGGCUCGCGACGGCGACGAUGGGUAGCCGGCCUGAGAGGGUGACCGGCCACACUGGGACUGGGAAAGGGCCCAGAGGCAAACGGGAGGCAAGGGUGGGGAACUGUGCAAAAUGGGCGCAAGCUGGAUGCAGGAACGUCGGGUGGGGGACGACUGCCUGCGGGUGGGAAACGUAUUUUAGCAGGAAAGAAGCGAAUGUGACGGUACCUGCAGAAAAAGCACCGGUAAACUACGU
rnacentral:rRNA from 1 species